rnacentral:lncRNA from 1 species
GCAGCUCUUUGAUAAAUUCCUCUGUUGGUUUGUAGCAAUCUACAAGAGUUUCCUGUAAUUUGAGAGCUCUCUCUUCUUCAUUGGCUGCAUCAAGAAGGUCAUCAAUGUCAAUUUCUACAUCUGGCAUCUCCUCUUCCUGGCAGCCGUAGAGCUGCCCCAGCUGCUCCACGAUCCACUCCUCCAGCACCAGCCGCUUCCGCAGCUCCUUCCGAUCGUAUUUCACCGUCACUUUGCCCUGCUGGUGGCGUCGCUGCUGGACCUGCACCGCCGCCGCCGACACCGCGUCCUCCCGCCCCGAGCCUCCGCCGCGGGGGCUCUGGAAGAAGACGCGGCCCCCUCCGCCGCCGCCGCCCGCCGCCGCCGCCGCCUCGCUGCCUCCGGUCGCC